CCUACGGGAGGCUGCAGUGAGGAAUAUUGGUCAAUGGACGCAAGUCUGAACCAGCCAUGCCGCGUGCAGGAAGACGGCUCUAUGAGUUGUAAACUGCUUUUGUACGAGGGUAAAUCCCGACACGUGUACCUGGUUGAAAGUAUCUUACGAAUAAGGAUCGGCUAACUCCGUGCCAGCAGCCGCGGUAAUACGGAGGAUUCAAGCGUUAUCCGGAUUUAUUGGGUUUAAAGGGUGCGUAGGUGGUUUGAUAAGUUAGUGGUGAAAUCCCGGGGCUCAACUCCGACACUGCCUCUGAUACUGUCGGGCGUGAGUUUAGUUGCGGUAGGCGGAAUGUGUGGUGUAGCGGUGAAAUGCAUAGAGAUCAUACAGAACACCGAUUGCGAAGGCAGCUUACCAAACUGCGACUGACGUUGAGGCACGAAAGCGUGGGUAUCAAACAGGAUUAGAUACCCCUGUAGUC
rnacentral:rRNA from 1 species